CUUCACCGAGCCCAGCAGCAGCGGCCGGUCCUCGUCCCGGUCCCGGCCGUAGGUGGCCAGCAGCGCCUGUGCCUC
rnacentral:antisense_RNA from 1 species